UAAAAGUCUCUCCAAAAGUGAACUCAUCAGAGUACAGAAAAAAAUAUGCACUAGUAACGAUUCACAGAUCCACAGGAUCCUCGAAGGCUUCAAUGGGCAAGUUGACAAGUGGUUCCUUUCUAUUGUCCUCAUCUGGUUGGGGGGGUUAUGAAAAGGGGUGAGUUUUAAAUACUCAGUAAACAAAAUAAUGUUUAAAUGACAUUACUAA
rnacentral:lncRNA from 1 species